UACGUAGGGCGCGAGCGUUGUCCGGAAUUAUUGGGCGUAAAGAGCUCGUAGGCGGCCUGUUGCGUCCGCUGUGAAAUCCCAGGGCUCAACCCUGGGCGUGCAGUGGAUACGGGCAGACUAGAGUUCGGUAGGGGAGACUGGAAUUCCUGGUGUAGCGGUGAAAUGCGCAGAUAUCAGGAGGAACACCGGUGGCGAAGGCGGGUCUCUGGGCCGAAACUGACGCUGAGGAGCGAAAGCGUGGGGAGCAAACAGG
rnacentral:rRNA from 1 species